rnacentral:rRNA from 1 species
UACGUAGGGUGCAAGCGUUGUCCGGAAUUAUUGGGCGUAAAGAGCUCGUAGGCGGUGUGUCGCGUCGGCCGUGAAAACCUGCAGCUUAACUGUGGGCUUGCGGUCGAUACGGGCAUCACUGGAGUUCGGCAGGGGAGACUGGAAUUCCUGGUGUAGCGGUGAAAUGCGCAGAUAUCAGGAGGAACACCGGUGGCGAAGGCGGGUCUCUGGGCAGUGAACUGACGCU